rnacentral:rRNA from 1 species
UUUCUCGGUCAUAGGUCCGGAAUAACACCAGUACCCAUUCCGAACACUGAAGUUAAGGCCGGAUGCGUUGUGGAUAGUAGUGAUAUCUCGAAUAUUGCGAAACCUCAAACUGAGAAAC